CACAGUUUACAAGCAGAUCAUGACAUUACAACACACACAUAUUGUUAAUUAACUUUGGAUGUCAAUUAGAGGUCUUCAAGGUCCGGGUGGACCCAAUAUACCCGAAUAUACCCGAGACCCGGGCCGUUCUGGUCUGAAAUUCUAACCUGUCCCUCGGUUCAGGGUGGGUCCUGCUUGAUUGUCAUCGGAUCUUGGGUCUAUGGAACUACAGCUGAUAGACCCGAAUGGACCCGACCAGGGCUCUGCAUAGUCUAUAGCAUAUAUAUUUUAUGCUAAUCAGGUGAAAUGAUUGACUUAUAGAAGGCCUAGCCAACAUAAAGACCUAUUAAUUAUCCAGAAGAGCAACUUGACUGAUAUCUGGACCCGUGAAGACCGAGAAUGUCAAUACAAACCAGCCCUUCUACUGAUUUGAAUUAUGUAUAAAGAAAAUAUUUACAACUGAAUUCUACUGGAGUCUAUGGACUUAUUUUGUAUUCAAUAGAAUAGCCCAUAAGGCCCAUGGUCAAAUGUAGUGCACUACAGAGGGAAUUGUGCGCCAUUGGGACACUCAGCCCCAGUAUAUACUAUAUACAGACACAGCCCCCAGUAUAUACUAUAUACAGACACAGCCCAAGCCUUCUCAGAUUUUUCUCAGAUGCUGUACUGCUCAUUUAAACAGGAAGGCUCCAGGGCAGGUUUUAUUUUGGACAAACUUAUCGACGACCUUGUCGUGAAAGUCUGACCUGAGUCCUUGAAUGAAGUCCUUCUCGACAGAGAGCAUGGACAGUGCAUUUAGCAUGCCAUUGUUCUGUUGCCAAGCGACCGCGGAUCCCGAGGUGUUCCGAGAACACGGCAACGCCUGGAUUCUUUUCAGAGUGGGGAACCUUCUAUCAGACUCAGCGGUCUGCAUGGGAGUGGUGAUGAUGAUUUUGAGAAGAGAGACUGUCUCUGACAAAACAUCCUGGAGGUUGAGUUCGCUGAUUGUUUUCAGUAAAGACAGCGCUGUUGUACCCCUGUGGAGCUCCGUGUGUUGGUACAGAGAGGUCAAUUCAUCUUUCAGCUUCCCAGUGUUAACCACCGGCCAUAGCUUGGCAGCACACUGUAGGGCUGAGCACGGGAAACAGCCUACGAACUUAGAGAAGAGCGUGGGAUUCACCAGUUUGGCUGCGAUUAAAUGGUCACUACUUUGAGAAAACCUGUGAUGCACAUGUGUGAUGAUGAUGUCACAUGCCUUCCUCAUGACCGCUGCAGUUCUCUUUGUGUCUCUUUUGUCGUUGUCCGACGUGGGGCCUACGUGUGCUGUGGCCUCAGCUCUCCCCUGUUGGGCCUGAAUGUACUUCUCGAAACUAUCAACUGCCUGUUCGAUGUCCGCCACGUCAAUGUCCCUUUUGAGUAUAUUAACAGUGAGAACAUCCACCUCUUGCAUGACCAAAUAGAAUAAUUCCAGCAGUUGUAGGAACGUGGGGUCCCCGAGUUUGGCUGACAGGCCAUAAGCCUCUCUGAUAGAGUCCUGGUCCCACACCGGCUGUGUCCUAAUAUCCUGCACACACUUCUGAAGAGCAACGCGAUUCUCCCAAACCACACUGACCGUUUCUCGCUCACAGUUCCACCCUGCAGCUGUAGCUCUCUUUGGCUGAUCUUUGAAGAAGGUCUCGAACAAAGACAAAUCCACAAAAAACACUUUGAGUUGGGUUGCUGUCGCCGAGCAGAUCUGCUGGAGUGUGACACGUAGCGGGUGAGCGUAACAGUGCACAAAGUUAGCGUUGGGAUAGGUGUGUUUCAGGUGAGUUUCCAGGUCGCGUACGUCGGCCCCGUCCACUGCUGCCGCCGCGACCCCGUCGUACGUCUGAGCGAUCAGCUUGUGCUCCAGUUUCAGUGGUUCCAGCGAGUCCUUGACUGCGUUGGUGAGACCGGCGGCCGUUUUAUCCUUUAGGUCCACAAACUCCCAAAACCUCUCUGUGAUGGUAUUGUCUGGAAGCAUGUACCGUAGCACGACAGAGACCUGCUGUGGCAUACAGGAGUAGAUUGUUAGCCCAAGAAGCUGAUCUUGGGCCAGUAUGGCAUUUUCCACACUAAUGGUCAAGGUUGGGAUUGGAGAUGCUGAUCCUAGAUCUGUAGCUAGGGGUAAUGUCACCCUGGAGGAGACCUCCCCUGUCCACGGCAUGCCGUCCACCUGCACCGCUACGAAGCUAGCCGCCCACACCUCCUUGGUAAUCGCCUCUUUGUACACCUCGUGCAUACAGUCAAACAGUUUGUUUUGUACAUAGCCUCUUGGGUGCUUAAAGAAGCCGUGAGCGUCAUAAUGCCUCUGGAGUCUCGAGUCUCCCUCGCACAUCGUCUCAAAGACGCACUUAAACAUGGAUGUGUUUAGAGAGUCCGACUCGACCCGGCCGCUCCGCCACGUGGCAGCCAUGUGUCUCCCACACAGCACGUAGCAUUUGACCAUUCUACCCAGCACGUACCUGUUCUCCUCUGUUUGUCUGUUGUGUAUCUCAAUGGAGCUUGGGUUUACGCUGACCAGCUGACCAGCGGCGUUAGUCUUCCCCGUUUUCCAGAUGAGUACAACAACUCUCAUGUUUGGAAAUCCUUUCGGAGAGGUGCUUCAGGUCCUUGAAACCCACCGUUGACCAAGUGCCCUCUUUGCCGAAUAAAAGGCACGGGAAGCAGUAAAGCGCUUUUUUGGAGACGCUAGCCGUCAGCCACGAUUUCUUAUGGAACCACGAGGGGUUGAAUGAACGGGUCGGGUCCUUUCCCUUUGUUCUGUGUUGGGGAAGUGUUAUUUCUACAUCAGGUGGCUGGUGGGGACCGAGACUUUUUAUCUGGAGUUUCUCCUCCUGCGACAAAGUGUAACGGUUUGUAAGGAGAAAAUCCACAUGGUUACUGAUUGAUGUUGGUUUUCUGGCCUGGUUCAAGCUCUCAUCACAUAUAUCUUUAUGUUUACUAGGAUCCCCGUUAGCUGACACGAUGAUGAAAGAAAAUUGUGGGAGGACUGGUGGGAGGAUUGGUGAGAAGGAGCUGGAAGUCUUUUUCCGUUUGGGAGGACAUGUUGCAACAUGGCUGCGGUCUUUACAAGUGUGUUUUCUCAACUCCUCUGGCUCAUAGAAACUAGUGAAGCAGUCCAUGCAGUGGUGAUGUUUCUGUCUUGAGUUCCUCCCUCUAUGUUGUCGGUGGUUUCCUGAUACUGUGGUACUGGGCUCGCUGAGUGAGCCUGAGUUGGAGCUCUCUCCUGUGAGAAUAUAU
rnacentral:lncRNA from 1 species